UACGAAGGGUGCAAGCGUUACUCGGAAUUACUGGGCGUAAAGCGUGCGUAGGUGGUUUGUUAAGUCUGAUGUGAAAGCCCUGGGCUCAACCUGGGAAUUGCAUUGGAUACUGGCAGGCUAGAGUGCGGUAGAGGGUAGUGGAAUUCCCGGUGUAGCAGUGAAAUGCGUAGAGAUCGGGAGGAACAUCUGUGGCGAAGGCGACUACCUGGACCAGCACUGACACUCGAGGCACGAAAGCGUGGGGAGCAACAGG
rnacentral:rRNA from 1 species